rnacentral:rRNA from 1 species
GAUGAACGCUGGCGGCGUGCCUAAUACAUGCAAGUCGAGCGAACAGACGAGGAGCUUGCUCCUCUGACGUUAGCGGCGGACGGGUGAGUAACACGUGGAUAACCUACCUAUAAGACUGGGAUAACUUCGGGAAACCGGAGCUAAUACCGGAUAAUAUAUUGAACCGCAUGGUUCAAUAGUGAAAGACGGUUUUGCUGUCACUUAUAGAUGGAUCCGCGCCGCAUUAGCUAGUUGGUAAGGUCACGGCUUAUCAAGGCAACGAUGCGUAUCCGACCGGUGAGAGUGGUCGGCCACCCUGGAACGGAGCCACGGUCCAGACUCCUACGGGAGGCAGCAGUAGGGAAUCUGCCGCAAUGGGCGAAAGCCUUACGGAGCAACGCCGCGUGAGUGAUGAAGGUCUUCGGAUCGUAAAACUCUGUUAUUAGGGAAGAACAAAUGUGUAAGUAACUAUGCACGUCUUGACGGUACCUAAUCAGAAAGCCACGGCUAACUACGUG